AUACGUAGGGGGCGAGCGUUGUCCGGAAUGAUUGGGCGUAAAGGGCGCGUAGGCGGCCCGGUAAGUCUGGAGUGAAAGUCCUGUUUUUGAGAUGGGAAUUGCUUUGGAUACUGUCGGGCUUGAGUGCAGGAGAGGUAAGUGGAAUUCCAGUGUAGCGGUGAAAUGCGUAGAGAUUGGGAGGAACACCAGUGGCGAAGGCGACUUACUGGACUGUAACUGACGCUGAGGCGCGAAAGUGUGGGGAGCAAACAGGAUUAGAUACCCUGGUAGUCCACACUGUAAACGAUGAAUGCUAGGUGUAGGGGGUAUCGACCCCUUCUGUGCCGCAGUCAACACAAUAAGCAUUCCGCCUGGGGAGUACGGCCGCAAGGUUGAAACUCAAAGGAAUUGGCGGGG
rnacentral:rRNA from 1 species